UCGUCGUCGCUGUCCGAAAUGCGGUGCACUCUUUCGUGGUACGCGUCAGCGUCGGUUCGCGGCGGGCGAUAAGGCCUUGUGGAAGGUAGCUAGGGGCUUGCCCCUAGUGUUAUAGACGCAGGAGCUGGGCUCGCUACGGACCGAGGAGAGAGAGUAUCGUUGCAGCGCAUGCCGCAAGGCUAGCUACCUGCCGUCUGUCUCGCUUCACAGACUGAGGACUGCACGCAGUGCUCGGACUGGCGGAGUGGUCCGGCGGUGGAGUGGUAUAAAUGCGCUCAGGACGCUGGCGUCCAAAUGGCCGUGC
rnacentral:rRNA from 1 species